rnacentral:rRNA from 1 species
UACGUAGGGGGCGAGCGUUGUCCGGAAUUACUGGGCGUAAAGGGCGCGUAGGCGGCUUGGUCAGUCCCGUGUGAAAUCCCUCGGCUCAACUGAGGAACUGCACGGGAAACUGCCUGGCUUGAGUUCGGGAGAGGUGAGUGGAAUUCCCAGUGUAGCGGUGAAAUGCGUAGAUAUUGGGAGGAACACCAGUGGCGAAGGCGGCUCACUGGACCGGAACUGACGCUGAGGCGCGAAAAGCGUGGGGGAGCAAACAGG